UAAUACGGAGGAUGCAAGCGUUAUCCGGAUUCAUUGGGUUUAAAGGGUGCGCAGGCGGAUUGGUAAGUCAGGGGUGAAAUCCCACAGCUCAACUGUGGAACUGCCUUUGAUACUGUCAGUCUAGAGUAUAGUUGAAGUUGGCGGAAUGUGUCAUGUAGCGGUGAGAUGCUUAGAUAUGACACAGAACACCGAUCGCGAAGGCAGCUAGCUAAGCUAUAACUGACGCUCAUGCACGAAAGCGUGGGGAUCAAACAGGAUUAGAUACCCUGGUAGUCCACGCUGUAAACGAUGAUUACUCGAUGUUGGCGAUACACAGUCAGCGUCUGAGCGAAAGCAAUAAGUAAUCCACCUGGGGAGUACGAUCGCAAGAUUGAAACUCAAAGGAAUUGACGGGGGCCCGCACAAGCGGAGGAGCAUGUGGUUUAAUUCGAUGAUACGCGAGGAACCUUACCUGGGCUCGAACGUAAGAUGACUGUAGGUGAAAGCUUACAUCUCUUCGGAGCAUUUUACGAGGUGCUGCAUGGUUGUCGUCAGCUCGUGCCGUGAGGUGUCGGGUUAAGUCCCAUAACGAGCGCAACCCCUACCUUUAGUUGCCAUCAGGUCAUGCUGGGGACUCUAAAGGAACUGCCUACGCAAGUAGUGAGGAAGGCGGGGAUGACGUCAAAUCAGCACGGCCCUUACGUCCAGGGCUACACACGUGCUACAAUGGCCGAUACAGAGGGCAGCUACCUGGUGACAGGAUGCAAAUCUCCAAAGUCGGUCUCAGUUCGGAUCGGAGUCUGCAACCCGACUCCGUGAAGUUGGAUUCGCUAGUAAUCGCGCAUCAGCCAUGGCGCGGUGAAUACGUUCCCGGGCCUUGUACACACCGCCCGUCAAGCCAUGGAAGCUGGGGGGACCUAAAGUCGAUAACCGCAAGGAGUCGCCUAGGGUAAAACCAGUGACUGGGGCU
rnacentral:rRNA from 1 species